rnacentral:rRNA from 1 species
UACGAAGGGGGCUAGCGUUGCUCGGAAUCACUGGGCGUAAAGGGUGCGUAGGCGGGUCUUUAAGUCAGGGGGGAAAUCCUGGAGCUCAACUCCAGAACUGCCUUUGGUACUGGAGAGCUUGAGUCCGGAAGAGGUGAGUGGAACUCCGAGUGUAGAGGUGAAAUUCGUAGAUAUUCGCAAGAACAUCAGUGGCGAAGGCGGCUCACUGGCCCGAUACUGACGCUGAGGCACGAAAGCGUGGGGAGCAAACAGG